GGAGGAAUGGCCGAGUGGUCUAAGGCGGUAGUGUAUGCAUGAUUUGAAUCUCUCAUGGAAAUUGGAUGUUAACCGAGUCAGUUUAAGAUGUCCAAGUACACUCAUCACUACUGGAUUAUCCGCGUGGGUUCGAAUCCCACUUCCUUCA
rnacentral:tRNA from 1 species